AUAAUUCGAGCGGUAAGUCCGUUGCGGGGUGUCCGCGGUGUUCCCGUCCAUCGGGCGGCCACAGCCGAGGCGCCAAGACUCCGCAGGGCGCGCUCUUUUU
rfam:Lentisphaerae bacterium RIFOXYB12_FTLL_65_16 rifoxyb3_full_scaffold_981, whole genome shotgun sequence.